rnacentral:rRNA from 1 species
UACGGAGGGUGCAAACGUUGCUCGGAAUCAUUGGGCGUAAAGCGCGCGUAGGCGGUUACUUAAGUUGGAUGUGAAAGCCCUCGGCUUAACUGAGGAAGUGCAUCCAAAACUGAGUAGCUAGAGUACGAAAGAGGGUCGCGGAAUUCCCGGUGUAGAGGUGAAAUUCGUAGAUAUCGGGAGGAACACCGGUGGCGAAGGCGGCGACCUGGGUCGAGACUGACGCUGAGGCGCGAAAGCUAGGGGAGCGAACGGG